CCACCCAUUUAAGUCUGCCCCCAGUACCUGAGUUACCUAGGUAACUGGCACACCUGGAGGCAAUUACCUCCCCCUUUUCUGAGGUCAGAUCCAAUCCACCUGGCCAUAUCUCCCACCUUUUUCUAUAUAAUCUGGUUCAACACGGUUCCUGCUCUCUUUCCUUUUCUCUUUUACUCUCUCUUGCUCUUUUCUCCCUUUUUCCCUUCUUCCUUCCCCUCUGUCUCCCCAUGUCUCUAUUUUGUGUGGGCUGGAAGUUUGCUUUCCUCCCAAUAAACUCCUUUCUGCCUGAACCAUGUGUUCAAAGCUGGUACUCUACCAUUUGAGCCACAG